AUUGAACGCUGGCGGCAGGCCUAACACAUGCAAGUCGAGCGAGAGGCGGACGGGUGAGUAAUGUCUGGGAAACUGCCUGAUGGAGGGGGAUAACGACUGGAAACGGUAGCUAAUACCGCAUACCAUCAGAUGUGCCCAGAUGGGAUUAGCUAGUAGGUGGGGUAACGGACCACCUCGGCGACGAUCCCUAGCUGGUCUGAGAGGAUGACCAGCCACACGGGAACUGAGCCACGGGCCAUACUCCUACGAUAGGCAGCAGUGGGGAAUAUGGCCCAAUGGGCGCAAGCCUUAUGCAGCCAUGCCGCUUGUGUGAAGAAGGCUGUCGGGUUGUAAAGCACUUUCAGCGGGGAGGCGUUACCCGCAGAAGAAGCACCGGCUAACUCCGUGCCAGCCGCCGCGGUAAUUC
rnacentral:rRNA from 1 species